GAGGGGAGUCCCGGUGCCCUUUAUGAGCUUCCUCGGAGGUUACUCCCACUUUACUCCCGGGUUACUCAGACUUUACGCCAAACUUGGGCCCGCUUUACUCUGGGGUUACUCCGGGGUUACUCAGACUUUACUCCAAGGUUGGUCCCGCUUUACUCCGGGGUUACUCACGCAUUUUACUCCAGAGUUACUCUCACUCUACUCCAAGGGGACGUUUUACACCAGGGUGAAGUUUUACUCCAGGGUUACUCACGCUUUACUCCAAGGAGACAUUUUCCUCCGGGAUUACUCACGGUUUGCUCCGAGGUGUUUUACUCCGGGUUACUCAGACUUUACUCCGGGUUUACUCACGGCCCGCCCACCAGGGACACUUCUCCACGCACCGGCUACUCCUGGGUUACUCCCCCUUUACUCCGAGGUUCCCCUCCAGCCUCACUCAGGGCCGCCCCUCCCCCC
rnacentral:lncRNA from 1 species